GUUUGUUAAGAUCCAACAGUUUGUCAAGAAACUAUCAAUUACAUAAAAUUUCUCAAAUCUAAAAUAAAUGCUUAUAAGUUAUAUUUACAGCUUUUGUGAAAAUGGUGAUUAUGUGUAUCGACACACCCAAAAUUUGAACAUUAAUAGUUUCGUUUGCACUCAACGCCAUUGUGAUUGAUUUUCACCAACAAGGCAACAUAUUAUCAGGGCUCGAAAUAGCUGGCUGCCAAUGGCCAAAAGGAGGCCAUAUUUUAGAAAUGGCAGGCAAAAACAAAUUUGAACUGCCAGUUAGUCAAAAAGAAAUGGCAGGUGAAAUUCUAUAGACAUAUUUCAUUUCAUUUGUUUACCACAACUCAUAUAUACUAGAUCAUUUAGUUGACUAAAUACAUUUAUAUUUGAAAUGUAAAUCCAAGUUUACUGUAG